AACCCUCACACAAUUCUCAAUAUCUAGUCCAGUCUAUUGAAGUGUUUCCUGUACUUCAGAAGCUAAAAGUACAUUUCCCACGCUCCUUUACAAUUAUGAUUCUGGACUUCUGAGGCUUGGCUGGCAGAAGCAAAGUGGACCCUGUGCUUCCGACAUCUCUGCUGCUGAAGAUGACUAUGAAGAUGUUUGGCUGCUCUACUGCAAUUUAGUCGGAAGCAAGAAUCUGUUCGAAUGCAAAAGACCACUGAUGUUCUUCCCUGGGAGAAGAAGGAUCUUUCUCCACAUUGCUCUCUGCAUUCCCCUCACUGGGUCCAGAAUCACCGGCUGUCCUGGAGAAUCCUUUGGCUGAUGAUGUGGGGCUAUGGAGUUUCCUUCCAACUUCUUCCAUCCUGAGCAAAAGGGUCUGUAUCACAUACAACCUAUUUCGACAGCGCAUGCUAUGGAUAUCUUCAUAGCGAAUACUACCAUAUUUCUGCAAGAAAUGAUUUCAGUGGAUACUAAUUCAUAAUAAACAUCUACUUCUCUUACAACUGAA